rnacentral:rRNA from 1 species
CCCUACGGGGGGCAGCAGUAGGGAAUUUUCCGCAAUGGGCGAAAGCCUGACGGAGCAACGCCGCGUGAGGGAUGAAGGUUUUCGGAUCGUAAACCUCUGUCUUCAGGGACGAUAAUGACGGUACCUGAGGAGGAAGCCACGGCUAACUACGUGCCAGCAGCCGCGGUAAUACGUAGGUGGCAAGCGUUGUCCGGAGUUACUGGGCGUAAAGGGCGUGUAGGCGGCCUUUUAAGUCAGACGUGAAACCCCUGGGCUUAACCCAGGAACUGCGUUUGAAACUAAAAGGCUUGAGGACCGGAGAGGGUAGUGGAAUUCCCAGUGUAGCGGUGAAAUGCGUAGAUAUUGGGAGGAACACCAGUGGCGAAGGCGACUGCCUGGACGGCCCCUGACGCUGAGGCGCGAAAGCUAGGGGAGCAAACGGGAUUAGAUACCCUAGUAC